UCGUCCUUAGUUGCCAUCAUUUAGUUGGGCACUCUAAGGAAACCGCCGGUGAUAAGCCGGAGGAAGGUGGGGAUGACGUCAAGUCCUCAUGGCCCUUACGCGCUGGGCUACACACGUGCUACAAUGGCGGUGACAGUGGGCAGCAAUCUCGCAAGGGUGAGCUAAUCUCCAAAAGCCGUCUCAGUUCGGAUUGUUCUCUGCAACUCGAGAGCAUGAAGGCGGAAUCGCUAGUAAUCGCGGAUCAGCAUGCCGCGGUGAAUACGUUCCCAGGCCUU
rnacentral:rRNA from 1 species